GAUGAACGCUGGCGGCGUGCUUAACACAUGCAAGUCGAACGGAAAGGCCCAAGCUUGCUUGGGUUCUCGAGUGGCGAACGGGUGAGUAACACGUGGGUGAUCUGCCCUGCACUUCGGGAUAAGCUUGGGAAACUGGGUCUAAUACCGGAUAGGACCCCAUUUUGGAUGGUGUGGUGGAAAGUUUUUCGGUGUGGGAUGAGCUCGCGGCCUAUCAGCUUGUUGGUGGUGUAAUGGCCUACCAAGGCGUCGACGGGUAGCCGGCCUGUGAGGGUGUACGGCCACAUGGGGACUGAGAUACGGCCCAGACUCCUACGGGAGGCAGCAGGGGGGAAUAUUGCACAAUGGGAGCAAGCCUGAUGAAGCGACGCCGCGUGGGGGAUGACGGCCUUCGGGUUGUAAACUCCUUUCGCUAGGGACGAAGCGCAAGUGACGGUACCUGGAGAAGAAGCACCGGCUAACUACGUG
rnacentral:rRNA from 1 species